UCCGAUUUACACCGGCGGUCUCCUAUGAGUUCCCGACUUUACUCGCUGGCAACAUAGGACGAGGGUUGCGCUCGUUGGCGGACUUAACCGUACACCUCACGGCACGAGCUGACGACAGCCAUGCAACAAGUGUCUUCAUGUCUCCCUUUUGGGGAGAGGCGCCCAUCUCUGGGCGUUGCAAUCGAUGUCAAACCUGGGUAAGGUUCUUCGGUUAGUAUCGAAUUAAUCCACAUGCUCCACCGCUUGUGCGGGUCCCCGUCAAUUCAUUUGAGUUUCAACCUUGCGGCCGUACUCCCCAGGCGGGAUACUUAAUGCGUUAGCUGCGGCACAAGAGGGGUCGAUACCUCUUACGCCUAGUAUCCAUCGUUUAGGGCGUGGACUAC
rnacentral:misc_RNA from 1 species